rnacentral:rRNA from 1 species
GACGAACGCUGGCGGCGUGCUUAACACAUGCAAGUCGAACGAAGUGGCGAACGGGUGAGUAACGCGUACUCAACCUGCCCUUCGGCGGGGGACAACAGUUGGAAACGACUGCUAAUACCGCAUAAUGAAGGAGGGGGUUGCGGCUGAUUCGCUAGUUGGAGGGGUAACGGCCCACCAAGGCGAUGAUCAGGAGCCGGGCUGAGAGGAUGAACGGCCACAUUGGGACUGAGACACGGCCCAGACUCCUACGGGAGGCAGCAGGGGGGAAUCUUCCGCAAUGGACGAAAGUCUGACGGAGCAACGCCGCGUGAGGGAUGACGGCCUUCGGGUUGGAAAGCUCUGUUAAUCGGGACGCGGUACCGGAAUAGAAAGCCACGGCUAACUACGUGCCAGCAGCCGCGGUAAUUC